rnacentral:rRNA from 1 species
CCUACGGGCGGCAGCAGUGGGGAAUAUUGGACAAUGGGGGGAACCCUGAUCCAGCCAUGCCGCGUGUGUGAAGAAGGCCCUCGGGUUGUAAAGCACUUUCAGUGAGGAAGAACGCCUGGUGGUUAAUACCCAUCAGGAAAGACAUCACUCACAGAAGAAGCACCGGCUAACUCCGUGCCAGCAGCCGCGGUAAUACGGAGGGUGCGAGCGUUAAUCGGAAUUACUGGGCGUAAAGCGCGCGUAGGUGGCUUGAUAAGCCGGUUGUGAAAGCCCCGGGCUCAACCUGGGAACGGCAUCCGGAACUGUCAAGCUAGAGUGCAGGAGAGGAAGGUAGAAUUCCCGGUGUAGCGGUGAAAUGCGUAGAGAGCGCGAGGAAUACCAGUGGCGAAGGCGGCCUUCUGGACUGACACUGACACUGAGGUGCGAAAGCGUGGGUAGCAAACAGGAUUAGCUACCCUGGUAGUC